CGCCGUUGCCGUUUUCUUUGGCAACUGUGUGCUUUUCUGCGCGAGAGCAGUGUCGAAGAACAAGGGGGCGAAGCACGAUGCGGCGGAGAAGCAUCGCUUGGCCGCCGCUGGGGAGCCUUGGAUGCGCCGCCGCCGCCGCCUGAGGAGCUGGUUCGCUGCCGAUAAGACCGUCAAGCAUGCGGUGCUUGAGAUGCAGCUCGAUGGCCAAAUCUCGACGCUGAAAGCUCCCCAGGUUGGGGACGCGCCAGAUCCCACCGCGAUCCUCUCCGACGAGAUCCUCCUCCGCGUCCUCGCCGCGCUCCCUGACUCAGUUCGCCUGUCUGUCUCCCUCGUUUGCCGGCGAUGGCUACGCCUCGCCGGCCGCCUCCGCCGCUCCCUCACCGUACUCGACUGGUCCUUCCUUCACCGUCGCCGCCUUCCCCUUCGCUUUCCCAACCUCGACGACCUCGACCUCGUUCCCGCCUCCUUCGCGACCCCUUCGGAUGCUGACGCCGGCGUCGUUCUCUCGAAGGGCGCCGUUUCCUUCUCUGUCGAUGCCGGCGCAGACCCUCCCGUGGGCGAGUGCCGCUUCCUCGAGCCGGAUGUCAUCGAUCGUGGUCUCGUUAUUGUUGCCAGCGACUGCCCUGGUCUUCGGAAAUUGUCCCUCGUUGCCCUCGCUUCGGAGGUCGGUGUCAGGGCGGUCGCCGAAGCGUGCGACAUUCUGCAGGAACUGGAACUCCAUCGCUGCUCCGAUCUCGCUCUCCGUCCCAUCUCCGCUUUCAAGAACCUCCAGAUACUGCGGAUAGUGGGAGCCGUUGAGGGGUUCUACUCAGGUCCCGGUGUCGCGGACAUUGGACUCACAAUGCUGGCCCAUGGAUGCAAGCGACUGGUGAAGCUGGAGCUUGCUGGUUGUGAGGGUAGCUACGACGGCAUCUCAGCGGUGGGGCAGUGCUGCGAGAUGCUUGAGGAAUUGACGAUAUCAAACCACCGGAUGGAUGCAGGAUGGAUAGCUGCAUUGUCCUUCUGUGAAAACCUGAAGAAAUUGAGAUUGCAGAGCUGCAGGAGGAUAGACGCUGACCCAGGGCCAUUGGAACACUUAGGAAGGUGCCCCAGCAUCCAGACACUUCAAAUGGAGCAGUGCCAGCUGCGUGAUAAAAGAAGCUUGGAAGCAUUGUUUAGGGUGUGUGAGGCAGUAAGAGAAGUCAUGUUUGAAAAUUGUUGGGGACUGGAUGAUGACAUGUUUAGUCUUUCCAGCAUUUGCAGGUACGUGAGGUCUCUCUCCUUAGAGGGCUGCUCACUCUUAACCACAAAAGGUUUUGAAUCAGUAGUUUUAUCAUGGAUCGAUUUGAAGAGACUCGAAGUCAUCUCGUGCAAUAAUAUAAAGGACGACGAAGUGUCUCCUACGCUAACAAAUCUUUUCUCAACCCUCAAAGAGUUCAAGUGGCGACCAGACUCCAAAUCAGUCCUUGCGAUGGGCCUCUCAGGGACGGACAUGGGCAAAAAGGGUGGAAGAUUCUUUAAGUAGAUGUAAGCUUAGUUAUCAACAGGGAUAUCCUGCAGCGACAUCAGCGGUGAUAAAACUGGUCGCGAUAGAAUUACUAACAGGGGCAGGGCUUAGAGGAAAGCCAUCACUAACUCAUUAGCAAACAAAGAAACUUUCAUACAAUCAUACUUAAGCAUCCACUGGUUUAUCCUGAUAACUUAAAAUGAUUCACUGCUGUGUUACUCUACACAAAAUGAAAUGGGUAUGUGGAUGUCAAAUGUGAUUUUAAACAUUCCUUUUACAGGGUAAUGGCAGCCGAGAAUUCAUAUGAUCCGGAGUUGCUUUUUAAUUCUCUAUUUAUGCCCUCAAAUUAUGUGCAGCAGGUGCGUGAAUUUGCAUCUCAAACUCUUUUAUCUGUAAUGGCUAAUGACUAAGAAAGUUUUUACCUCGAAUUAAUUUUAA